rnacentral:lncRNA from 1 species
AGGUUUAUAGGCCAACUUUAUUUUAAUAUAUAUCGUUUAUACUUCUUAUUUUAGUAUAUGCGGUUAUAAAUUAAAUUUUUUAUAUGAAAUUUUCAGGUAAUAACUGGUCAGAGGGUCUUCUGCUUCCUCCGUUUGGCAGUAUUGCUGAUGAUGAUGUCAUGAACGACAAUCUUGAUUUUCUUAAUGUCCCCCAAUAUGGAAGAAACCCCGACUACAUGGGUUAAGUGCAGCACUGCUUUUUUUUUUUUCUGUUUUGUUUAAUUAAAUAAAUGAUAGGUAUACUAUUACCUAUCAAUCAUGACAAUGUUUUAGUAUGGUUUAGUUCAACUUAUAAGAUUUCUUGAGACGUACAAGCAAUCUUUUUGUUUACUUUUGAGCUAAGUAUUUUCCUGAAAAAGGAAAUAAAUCAAUAAAAGUUAUUGUGUGUGUCAACAUAUUGGUUCUAUUAGUUUAUACACGUCGGUUUUAAUUACGAUCUCUCUUCCUAAAUGUUGUACUUUUUUUUGAAAUAAACUCAAAACUUUGUUGUAUAAAAAACUCUUAUCACUUUCAAUCAUAUGAUGGUUACAAUUUAAUCAUUUAUUCAUAACAUCCUCCUGGUCCUCCAUUGAGGAUAUUAAAGUGUGCCAUUCUGUAACCCAGAACUAUCAUUUCUUCCACCUCUACGAUAUCUUGUAAUGUUACUUGCAGCUUCAUAAGCCACAGAAACAUCAUCAAAAUCAACAAAUUGUUUUUUUUUUUUUUUAGGAAAGUAAUAAGAAAAAUAAAAGCUGCAUUAUUUUAUUGGCCACAUUGGACUCCUAGGCCGGGUAAUCUUGUCAUCUCUACUCGUAGAGUCUUCUCCCAUGGUACUUGCAUGGUUCCAUCUUUUAACUCUAGUAGUAUUUUGUUUGGAAAAUAACCCAAUAUAAUAUCUUCAUUCAAGAAAAUUGAGGACUGAAUUUGUGGUGCUUUUAUCAUAUUAAAUUACAUUUAAUUAUCAAUAUUUAUUGACUGAAAUCAGAAGGGUGUUUGAAUCAGAUAUGAAUUCUCUCUUAAUCAAUUUUUUUUUCUAAAUUUUGUAAGAUAUUAUGGCAGAUUUCAUUUAAAUUGUUUUAUAGUUAGGAUUUAAUUUAUUUUGGGCUUUCCUUAUUGUUUGAAUCCGAUGAAUUUCAUAUCAUCUUGCUGGUGCUUCUUCUGAUCUUCUUCUCCCUCCCUCUCUCUCACUUUUUUUCUUCUCUCUCACAGACCUAAAACUUUGACGAGCAAAUUUGAAAACGAAAUAUCAGGACGGAAAAGCCUCAACAUAUUAAAAAAUUCGGAUAAUUUAACUCUCGUAGCAUUGAUGAAUUUUGGUGUUCUGAUGCGAUUCAAGUUUCUCAUAGAGCCAAAAAAUGGCAAUUCAAGCCAAUUUUUUUAUCCAUCAAUUGAAAUACAUGUUACAUAUGCAGCAGCCCGUAAUCGAAAAUAACUUAAUUUGUUUUAAAAAUUCUUUAUGUUAGACUAGAAAUGAAUCCAUUCUUGUUAUUGCGUAUCUGCAAUUUAACUUAUGCUGCUAGUUUACAAUUUAUUUUAUUCACAUAAAUGAUCGUUCCUUUUUCUUAUUCUCAAUUAAAUUUUGGUUCCUAGAAUGAUAGUUAAAAAAAUUAACAAUAAUAAUCGAUGUCGCAGAUCAAUUAUCAAAGUUUGUUUGUGUGAACAAGAAAUAUGAGAAAAAGUUUGUUAGUUAAUUGUCUCUUAGUUUUAGAAUUUUGAUUAACCAAUAAAACAACGUAUUUUAUUGUUUAAUAAAACAAGUUCAAAGUAAAUUCAAUCCUAGUCAUAUUUUGAUAUUUUUAUUACAUCGCAAUUAAAUUUAAGACAAACCACAUUUCGGCAAUUAAAUUUAAGACAAGCCACAUUCUCCACAUGAAAUAUUUUUGUCGCGUCGUGAUUAAAUGAUUGAGUCUCACGUAGAAGUCUGUCACUAACCAUAUAUUUUUAUAAAUUUAUCAACACAAAAAGAAAAAAAAAAUGAAGUAUUUGAAAUUUAUCUGGGGCUAAGCAGUAACAUUGGAUGUUGCCUCGGAUGUCCUAUAUCAAGGGCCCGAUUAAUAAAAUUUUGGGCCCUAGGCAAAAUUUCUAAAUUAGCCCUUUUUAUUUAAAUGAAAGUUAAUGUGAGAUUAAUUUAAAUUUUUACGAUUAAUAUGAAUAAUUUAUUUUUUUAGAUAUAAUUCCUUUACAUAGUUUGUAUCUGUAUUAUUUCAAAGAUUUUUUUGGGUUAUGUUUAAGCAGGCUUAUUUUUGAGAGAUUAUGAAGAAUAAGAGAUUGUGUUUCAAUUGGAAAUAACAAAAAUUUCGUUGCAUAAUUUUUUUUAAGCAUUAAAGAAAUAAGUUAUUGACGGAAAUUUCACUUUCAACAUAGAGAAUAUCCAACAUUUUAAACAAGAAAAUAAAUAAAUUCUGAUUUUUUAACUGAACUAUAUAUUGAGGUGGGGCCAAAAUUUUUGGAGAGCAAAUAUAAUAACUCAAUUUCUAAAUAAUGAAUAAUGACUCAAUUUCUAAAUAAUGAAGUAAAACAUAAAUUAGGGUUUUAGUAGGAAAGUAUAUUAGAUGGGACCUUGAUUUUAGGGGAAGGCAUAGGCAGUUGCCUAAAGAGUAGAGCUUCUAACACCCCUUUUAAACUUGUAACAAACCCCAAUUUUUUGUUUUUUUAAGUCUCUUUCUUUUAUGAAAAAUACAGAAAAGGACAUAAAGUUAUAAUGAAAUUUUAAUUGAACUUCACUACUGUAUAGAAUACAUUUUGUAAACAAAUUUUUCAUAAUAAAUUUUUUAAUAAAUAAUUUAUUUCUUUGUUAUUUUGUUUUUAUCAGCAAAUUAAUUAUAAUAUCAUAGGAUUAGCAAAUAGUCAAGAUUCAAGAUUUGUUAAGCUAUUUUAAUGUAAUCAAAUUCAUAUUUUUCCUUUUAGUAAUUCUUAGUAAUAAUAGAACUAUUAUUUUAAAAGUAGGGUGAUGCAAGAAUAUUAAAACGGUGUGAAAAGCAUUACUCUUGCCUAAAUUAUUCCAAGGUUGAACCGGCGUGUCUAAUUACCACCCUCUAGAGAAAGGGGAAAUUUUUUUUUCCGAAGACAACCAUGUUUUGGGUAUUUCUACCGACACUCUACAAAAUAAAUGCUGGAAGAAAAUUAAUACUCUAUUAAUUGUUAGGGACAAAUCACACUUCCGUUGAGAAUAGACCUUCAGUUAAGUAUACCGGUUUCGACAUCCCUCGACUCUUGAGCUUUUCUUUGAAUAUAAGUUGGGUUCGUGGGUUUUUAUAUAAUAUCAGAGUUAGAAUCGUACAUAAGUGAGUCCACACUACCUUACCACAUCGAUUGAGAAUAAAUAUUGAGUUCAAUAUUAAACCUUCAACCACAAGGAUAAAACUAAUUAAGGCCCUUGAGGGGCUUCAAUACAUCCUCAACUAUUAAAUUCAUGGAAAUUCAUAUUAAUUUAAUGGAGUUGAACUUUUGGCACCCCUUUGAAUAUGUCUUAAAACACAUUUUCUUUACUUAUCCCAUUAAAAUUGUAUAAAGAUUGCACACUUUCUCAUGAAAUCCCUAUGAUUCUAAAAAUAACCCUGAUUUCUUGUUAAAUAAACACCAAUGCAGAUGCGGCAAUAAAAUAGUUAAUUUAAAAAAAAAUCCCUAUCUGAGAGACAGAAAGCUAGAGGAUUUCAAUAUGGAAUAUUUAUGAUCAAUAGAAGAAUUCAAGUGACUGGAGAAAAUUCAGAUUGUUCAAAAUGGGUUCUCAAACGAGAUAAGCCUCAGGUAGUAGACCUCACCAACAUCAGUACCAGACUCAAUCCAUUGAAUCGGUCUCGUCUUAAGCCUAACAGCUCCCUUCUAAUAUAAUCUAGUGAGAACGGUGAGGUGCUUGGUAUAUCAUACACCAAAAAUCAACGAUGCUUGGACUUUCAAGAAAAAGAGAAAAACAAAUGCAUGCACGGGGAAACGUACUAAUAAAAAGCAAAUCAUAUAAUUUACAAAUUAUUAUAGGCUUGUAGCCAUAAGAUCGAGAGAAACUAAAACAUUUCUUGCAUUUUCUGGCCAUAUUUUCUAAAUGAAGGGAUGGUCCAUUGCUGCUCUGCCAUACUGGAUCUCAAGAUGUCAUUAACAAUAGGUCUCAAGAUGUCGCUAACAAGGUGUCACUCUGAUACCGACAGGUCUACCACUUAGACAUAACACUUGCCAUAUAAAAAUUUCUCCUAUUUUUGCUAUUUCCUUCGUAUCUUGCAUUGAAUUAUUGCCAGCAAAUGAUAUUUCGAGUCAAAAAAGUAUAUUCAAUUAUUGCAUAUAUGCUCCUAGGUAAUUUGCACAAUUGAAUUAUAGCUGUUAUUCUACUUAUUUACACAAUUGAUUAAUUGUACGCAUCCAUUGCAAGACUUUCGCACUAGGUUUCAAUUUCAACCACAAAUCCUAGCUCUAGAUAAAAAUGAUGUGGUCGUAGAGAUUUCGAAUGUAUUCACUUUGUGAUUAACGGAAGCAUUGCUUUCAUUUGUAAGACGUUGUCAUCAGAGAUUAAUUAAUUAAUCAUCAUUUUGCUAAAGGAAAAAGAAUGAAAAAAGCUGCACUAUUUUAAAGGCCAUUUGGUAUAUGACCACUUCGCAUUGGACUUGGAGACCGGGUAAUUUUGUCAUCUCUACUCCAAGAAUCUGCUCUCAUGCUACUUGCAUGGUUCCAUCUUUGAAGUCUGGUACUGUUUUGUUU